rnacentral:tRNA from 1 species
GAGGGUAUAGCUCAGUGGUCGAGCACAUGCUUAGCAUGCAUGAGGUCCUGGGUUCAGUCCCCAGUACCUCCA